UACGUAGGGUGCAAGCGUUGUCCGGAAUUAUUGGGCGUAAAGAGCUCGUAGGCGGCCUGUCACGUCGGCUGUGAAAACCCGGGGCUCAACCCCGGGCCUGCAGUCGAUACGGGCAGGCUAGAGUCCGGUAGGGGAGACUGGAAUUCCUGGUGUAGCGGUGAAAUGCGCAGAUAUCAGGAGGAACACCGGUGGCGAAGGCGGGUCUCUGGGCCGGAACUGACGCUAAGGAGCGAAAGCGUGGGGAGCGAACAGG
rnacentral:rRNA from 1 species